UCCUACGGAGGCAGCAGUGGGGGAUAUUGGACAAUGGGGGGAACCCUGAUCCAGCGACGCCGCGUGAGUGAAGAAGUAUUUCGGUAUGUAAAGCUCUGUCAGCAGGGAAGAAAGAAAUGACGGUACCUGACCAAGAAGCCCCGGCUAACUACGUGCCAGCAGCCGCGGUAAUACGUAGGGAGCAAGCGUUAUCCGGAUUUACUGGGUGUAAAGGGCGUGUAGGCGGGCAUGCAAGCCAGAAGUGAAA
rnacentral:rRNA from 1 species